rnacentral:rRNA from 1 species
UGGGUCCUACGGGACGCAGCAGUGAGGAAUAUUGGUCAAUGGGAGAGAUCCUGAACCAGCCACGCCGCGUGAGGGAAGACGGCCCUAUGGGUUGUAAACCUCUUUUUUCGGAGAACAAAACCCGGGACGUGUCCCGGACUGCGUGUAUCCGACGAAAAAGCAUCGCCUAACUCCGUGCCAGCAGCCGCGGUAAUACGGAGGAUGCGAGCGUGUUCCGGAUUUAUUGGUUUUAAAGUGUGCGUAGGCGGUCCGUUAAGUCAGCGUUAAAAUUGCGGUGCUCAACCCCGUCGAGCCGUUG